AAAAGUCGUAACAAGGUUUCCGUAGGUGAACCUGCGGAAGGAUCAUUAUUGAAACAACUAUGGGCGCCGAGGGCUGUCGCUGACCAUUAAUUAUAUUAUGGUCGUGCACGCCCAAAGUGUUCUCAUCCAUCUCACCCCUUUGUGCAUCACCGCGUGGGCUUCCUUUGGAUCCCUCCAAAGGUGGCUUACGUUUUUCUACACAAACACACCUUACUUAAUUUGAAUGUCUCUUCUUUUGCGGUCACACGCAAUCAAUACAACUUUCAACAACGGAUCUCUUGGCUCUCACAUCGAUGAAGAACGCAGCGAAAUGCGAUACGUAAUGUGAAUUGCAGAAUUCAGUGAAUCAUCGAAUCUUUGAACGCACCUUGCGCCCCUUGGUAUUCCGAGGGGCACACCCGUUUGAGUGUCGUGAAAUUCUCAACCUCCUCGGUUUCUUUUUUGGACCCGGGGGAAGGCUUGGACUUUGGAGGCUUCUGCUGGCCCCACAAACCUGCUGGGCCAGCUCCUCUUAAAUGGAUUAGCAGGGUCUUCUUUGCUGAUCCCUUGACGUGAUAAGAUGUUUCUACGUCUUGGGCUCGGCUCUGUUUCUUGGGACCUGCUCCUAACCGUCUCAUUUGGAGACAAAUGUGUGUUCAAAAAGUAAUUUAAUUUAAUUUUUGAAUGCCCCAUUGAACCCUUGACCUCAAAUCGGGUGAGACUACCCGCUGAACUUAAGCAUAUCAAUAAGCGGAGGA
rnacentral:rRNA from 1 species